rnacentral:rRNA from 1 species
UUGGAGGGCAAGUCUGGUGCCAGCAGCCGCGGUAAUUCCAGCUCCAAUAGCGUAUAUUAAAGUUGUUGCAGUUAAAAAGCUCGUAGUUGAAUUUCGGGAUCAGUACGCUGGUCAUGCCUUUGGUAUGCACUGGUGUCACUGGUUUCUCCCUUCUGAAGAUCCGUGAUGUCAUUAAUUUGGUGUCGCGGGGAAUCAGGACUGUUACUUUGAAAAAAUUAGAGUGUUUAAAGCAGGCUCACGCUUGAAUACAUUAGCAUGGAAUAAUGAAAUAGGACGUUUGACCCUAUUUUGUUGGUUUCUAGGAUCGACGUAAUGAUUAAUAGGGAUAGUUGGGGGCAUUAGUAUUCAAUUGUCAGAGGUGAAAUUCUUGGAUUUAUUGAAGACUAACUACUGCGAAAGCAUUUGCCAAGGAUGUUUUCAUUAAUCAAGAACGAAAGUUAGGGGAUCGAAGACGAUCAGAUACCGUCGUAGUCUUAACCAUAAACUAUGCCGACUAGGGAUCGGAUGAUGUUAAUUUUAUAAUGAUUCAUUCGGCGCCUUACGGGAAACCAAAGUGUUUGGGUUC